rnacentral:rRNA from 1 species
GACGAACGCUGGCGGCGUGCCUAAUACAUGCAAGUCGAACGCAGUGGGGACGGGUGAGUAACACGUGGGUAACCUCCCAUCAGAGGGGAUAACCCUUGGAAACAGGUGCUAAACCGAUACUGAUGGACGGACCCGCGGUGCAUUAGCUCGUUGGUGGGGAAACGGCUAACCAAGGCCACGAUGCAUAGGCGACCUGGCGGGGUGAUCGGCCACACUGAGACUGGGACACGGCCCAGACUCCUACGGGAGGCAGCAGUAGUGAAUCUUCGGCAAUGGACGAAAGUCUGACCGAGCAACGCCGCGUGAGUGAAGAGGGUUUUCGGAUCGUAAAACUCUGUUGUUAGAGAAGCGGUAUCUAACCAGAAGGCCACGGCUAACUACGUGCCAGCAGCCGCGUAAUUC